rnacentral:rRNA from 1 species
CCAGACUCCUACGGGAGGCAGCAGUGGGGAAUAUUGGACAAUGGGGGGAACCCUGAUCCAGCGACGCCGCGUGAGUGAAGAAGUAUUUCGGUAUGUAAAGCUCUAUCAGCAGGGAAGAAAGAAAUGACGGUACCUGACUAAGAAGCCCCGGCUAACUACGUGCCAGCAGCCGCGGUAAUACGUAGGGGGCAAGCGUUAUCCGGAUUUACUGGGUGUAAAGGGAGCGUAGACGGCUGUGCAAGCCAGAUGUGAAAGCCCGGGGCUCAACCCCGGGACUGCAUUUGGAACUGUGUGGCUGGAGUGUCGGAGAGGCAGGCGGAAUUCCUAGUGUAGCGGUGAAAUGCGUAGAUAUACGGAGGAACACCAGUGGCGAAGGCGGAUUGCUGGACAGUAACUGACGCUGAGGCGCGAAAGCGUGGGGAGCAAACAGGAUUAGAUACCCCCGUAA